rnacentral:rRNA from 1 species
AUUGAACGCUGGCGGCAUGCUUUACACAUGCAAGUCGAACGGUAACAGGCCGCAAGGUGCUGACGAGUGGCGAACGGGUGAGUAAUGCAUCGGAACGUGCCCAGUCGUGGGGGAUAACGCAGCGAAAGCUGCGCUAAUACCGCGUACGAUCUAUGGAUGAAAGCGGGGGACCGUAAGGCCUCGCGCGAUUGGAGCGGCCGAUGUCAGAUUAGGUAGUUGGUGAGGUAAAGGCCCACCAAGCCAACGAUCUGUAGCUGGUCUGAGAGGACGACCAGCCCCACUGGGACUGAGACACGGCCCAGACUCCUACGGGAGGCAGCAGUGGGGAAUUUUGGACAAUGGGCGCAAGCCUGAUCCAGCAAUGCCGCGUGCAGGAAGAAGGCCUUCGGGUUGUAAACUGCUUUUGUACGGAACGAAACGGUCCGGGUUAAUACCCUGGGCUAAUGACGGUACCGUAAGAAUAAGCACCGGCUAACUACGUGCCAGCAGCCGCGGUAAGAC